rfam:Mus musculus chromosome 5, GRC primary reference assembly.
UUCUUUUUGUUGUUCUUAAGUAUGAUUAUUAAGUGUUUACACCAUUGUAUGACACAUGCCUCCUUCAACCCUCAUUAUGACAUUAUUACACUAUCCAUCUGACA